AGCGAACACUGGCGGCAGGCCUAACACAUGCAAGUCGAACGAACCCUUCGGGGUUAGUGGCGGACGGGUGAGUAACACGUGGGAACGUGCCUUUAGGUUCGGAAUAACUCAGGGAAACUUGUGCUAAUACCGAAUGUGCCCUUCGGGGGAAAGAUUUAUCGCCUUUAGAGCGGCCCGCGUCUGAUUAGCUAGUUGGUGAGGUAAUGGCUCACCAAGGCUACGAUCAGUAGCUGGUCUGAGGGGAUGACCAGCCACAUUGGGACUGAGACACGGCCCAAACUCCUACGGGAGGCAGCAGUGGGGAAUCUUGCGCAAUGGGCGAAAGCCUGACGCAGCCAUGCCGCGUGGAUGAUGAAGGUCUUAGGAUUGUAAAAUCCUUUCACCGGUGAAGAUAAUGACUGUAGCCGGAGAAGAAGCCCCGGCUAACUUCGUGCCAGCAGCCGCCGUAACAC
rnacentral:rRNA from 1 species